UCGCAAAUGUUAAACUCACCGUAUUUCGUCUUCAUCACAACAUAAUGAUGUUUUCUUUAUGAAUAAAAAGUGGUGUGUCGCUUUAAUUGUAUCUGCCUGCGCCCCUUCUACACCCACUACGGUACAACAUGGACGCGGACGGCAGUGAGUCUCCGUGAGCUGCCAUGCUGUUUUGGUUUCAUCACCAGUAAGACAUAAUGAUUACUCCUGCAUUUAACCUGGAUCAAGAUGCCGACCACUUGACCCUCACCAUCCGGGUGCCCUACACCAGGACCUCUGAGUUUGACCUCUUUAUCGAUGGAACCGAUUUUAAGUUCUAUGCCAAGCCCUACUUUCUGAGGCUUACUCUUCCAGGAAGGAUCGUGCAAGAUGGGCGAGAAAAGGCUAGAUUUGAUAUCGAUAAAGGUCUUUUCACACUGCAGGUCCCCAAAGAAACACCUGGAGAGAAUUUCGAAGGCCUCCAGAUGUUGACAAGCCUCCUUGCUCCCAAAGGCUGUCGGUCUGCGAAACCCCUGGUUGAGGACAUAAGCGCAGGCUGCAGCGGAGAUGCAGAGGACGAAGAGGAUGAGGAGGAAUUUGACUGGCAGGUGGAGCAGGAGGCAUACACAGAGAGAUCAGAAGAGGAGCUCGCUGCGCUGCAGAAAUAUGGAUUUGGCAACCAGAGGUCAGGAGUGUUUGAUCGCUUACAGGAAGAACUAAGCGACGUAAUUGACGUGAAGAACCCUGAAGCAACAACAACGGCUGAGAGGAGGCGUGCGCGGCUGCACGCCGAGGCUGCCGCCUUCUCGUCUGAUCAUUACCUAGCUGAUCUGUUUGAAGAUGAUGAAAUCAAGAGGCUGCUGAAGUUCCGACCAUGGUGGGCAGAUCUGAGCUGCGCCGACAGCGAAGUUGAUGGAUUGUCGUUCACCGAAGACGAGAAAGAGCAACUGAGAAAGUUCAACAACCGAUCGUACCUGCUGGACAAGGCCGCCCGUAAACAAGUGCUUCUCAGCCUGGUGGACGUUCUCCUGGCUUACACCUACGAAGUGCGCUCGACUGAGGGAGAACACAACGUGGAGUCUCCAUGGACUAUCCGAAAACUCAGUGGGACUCUCUGCUGGCUGGAAACGUACAGCCACACCAAAGAUGUGCUGGUGUCCUUCGGAAGACGGGUGAUGUGCUUCCCUCUCUACAGACACUUUGACUUGGUCUCUUCUGCUCUCCGUGAUGUCGUUUCGAUUUUGCAAGCAGGGACCGUCUGUGUCCUCAAAUGCCUCCUGGAUAUCCACAAAGUCUUCCGACAGAACGAGCCCGCCUACAUCCUGAACGAUCUGUACAUCACAGACUACUGCAUUUGGAUCCAGAGGGUCAAACGUGCAGGUCUGCAACCUACGUGAAAGGAGCAUGCGCAAGUUGCUAGAAGAGCAGAAUGUCUGCAGCCACUGCAACAUCAACACGAUCCAUCAAAAGCAUGGGGACAAUUUCCCCCGAGACAUGCUAAAGACAUGGAGAACAGAUACAAGAGCAGACAUGUGACAUGACGGCAGUAGUUCCACAUCUACGUCAAGCAACCCACCAGUGCGACCCAUCCUCACUCCCAUGGCGCAAUAUAUUGACGUUGGGAAAGUGGCAGCCAUCAGCAUUAGAUGCUGACGCAUAUUUCAGUUGAAGCACAUUGGAUGCUGCACCUUUCGUGUGUCUGCUGUCGGAGCUCCAUCACGCUGCUGCCGCUUGCUUUUCGAUUGAAAAUGAAUCUCCAGCAAUCGUUUGGACUUGGAAUAAUAAUAAUAAAUAAUAAAACAUCAUCUGGUGAAAUUAAGUGGCUUGGCGGGAGCGAUGCACUCUCUUGAGUCCCUUUCUAGUUUGACUCUUGUUUGUAAAUUUUGGCACAAAUGUUUGUUAGCACAUGCUCAAUUGAGAGCAACGUGUGCUUACAAAGAUUUUUGGAACAAAACUGGGAAUCAGUCUCACAGCUAGGCGUCACAGUUAAGCGAAACAUUGCUGCACCCCUGGACACUACCUCAAUAUAUUCCAGUGCAACUUGGAGUUAUGGCUUUUUUUUAUGCUAGCACUAUCCAGAUCACACUGAAUUCCCGCUGCUCCGAUUCCAUUGUCAAUCUCUUUCUGCCCGACCCCAAGACGCCAAAACCUCUUCGUGGCUACAGCCUCACUUGGGGUACUAAUGUUCAUUCCAUCCAAUUUACACUCAAGUGUUUACUGACCCACGGAGCUCAGAAGGUUGCACACAGAGGCGACAUACACACACACACAAACGCUCCCCUCUGACUGCGCCCGUGGAUCCUCCCCAUGAUCACCAGGACCAUUAUUACGAAUACUAAAUGCAAAAUACCCAAUUCUUCUCUAAGUGAUAUAAAUGUGAUGUCUCUUUUUGCCGCUGAGUAAGUAUUUCACAAUUACUUACACAUUUCAGAUGGGGGCCUGCGAGCGCAUUACUCAGUAAUGAGCUGUGUUUUACUCUUGGCCGGAGUUCAGCCAACUGGUGUGCUUGUCUGGAUGUGGCCCAGUUGAAAAAUGUGUGCGUGAUGUUGUAGGCUCGGCGCCCAGAUGCAGACACGAUAAAUGGUCUGCAAGGAUUUACCGCCUCCUCCUUUCUGUCCUCGCCAUCUUUUUUCAUCACGUUUCAAGCCGAAAACUUUGAAGCACAGUCGUGUUCCGGGUUGAAAGGAUAAGAAGUAGUCUCAUCGGAGCUCUGAAGAGAAUGUCCCACGGCAACUCGAGAAGACGCUCAGUCUCAGCAAAGCACUUGUUCACCUUCUAGAUCAGUCGCAAGCCACUAAAUGUCAGCUUGACCUAACACGCUCAAUGUUGCGUUACCCGGCAUCGAUCAUUUAAUGGAUUAGCUCAAGCUGCCGCGGCACUCACCUGUGAUUAAAAUCUAGCACCCCCCUCUUCCUGUCCGCUCAUAAUAAAUCAUCUAAAGCGAGAAGUGUCAUCCAAUUGGCUCAGAAAAUAAUAUUGAUUUAGAAAACCUACUUCCAUCUGAGCCUGUUUGCUCAUCAAUAAAAGAUAGUGCUAUUUUGUUUAGUGACUUUUGUCAAGAAAUUGCUUCAAGCUUGUGUCAAACUCAAGGCUGGGGGGCCUAAUCCGGAUCACAAGGUCAUCCAAGUGGCCCACAGGAGCUUUAAAUGGAUUGGAGACCAGAUACUGUGAUGCGUCUGUUGGAGAUAUUAUUCCUGUCAUUGCAGCGGACCACACAGUGAAAAUAGCUGCACUCUAUUGGGCUCCUCGUGGCAACUAAAAACAAGUCCUCGGUUUAGAAUCAGAAUCAGCUUUAUUGCCAUGGUCAGUGAGGAUCCCACCAACUGGGAAAGUGCUUUGGAAUAAUGUGCAAGCAUAAACAAAAACAAGAUAAAAUAAAAAUAAACAUAGAAACAAAACACAAACAAUAGAAGUAACUAAUAAAUAAAUAAAUAGCAUUGAACCUCCUCUGCUUCCUUGCAAAUCCCUCAAAUCUUCGUUGAUAUUGCUCGCGACUUCCGCCCCUUGCGUUUCGUGCUGAAGUGGUCUGAGUGAAAAUCUCAACUUGGUCAGACUAUUGUGACCGAUCUCAUGCCUGGGCAAUGGUCAGUCUGGAAGAAAGUUCAGUUUCUUGCCACCUUUUUUUUUUCAGUCUUGCCUACUACAUCUUUAAGCAGUUGUUUUUUAACAUCUUUUUAAUAGGUUUGUGAGCAGCCCCUUUCGUAAAGGUUGACAUUUAUGUAGGUGAAAACAACCAGUUUUCUGUGAGUUUGUUUCACUCUUUUGAAGUUGGUUGGUGAAGCCCUUAAACCCAUUUAGAUAUGUGACAGAUACUGUUGAAAUGGCCAUUAAUGUUUGAUGAAAAUUGUGGCGAGGAUUUAGAACAGACAGCAUGAGAAGAUUAUCACUUCCGAAAUGAGAUUACGUUUUCCCUCUGCCCCUCUGUUUUGUAGGAGAACUGGGCCGGGACUUAUCUGGGGUAUAUCACUUCUCAUGUUGUCGCGGGCCCUUUGUGUGGACUGACAGCUUUGAUGACAGGCCAUGCUGGCAUUGUUUUCUUCGCAGCAAUAUUCCCCAGCGUAGAAUUUGUCAUCCCUCGCUAAGUGAGACGUCUGCCAGAGCCGGGUGGUAAAAUGAGACGUAAUCUACACCCCGAGUGCAAUUGCUGUAUCUUGUCAGACGAGGCGUCAGCCGCACAUGAUGGACACGUCGAUUAAUGGAUGUUCGGGUGAUUUAUUUAAAAUCUUCCCCUUCUCAAAUGCAUUUCUUCUCUGACGGCAGAGACACUGGUCUGAAAUUUACAACCCCAUAAAGACUUCAGAGUGAUUUAAGCCUCAGGACCGCGGGGCAGAACUGGCUCUCUCACACACGCGAGAGCUUCGAAUCCAAGCACGAGAGCGAAGCCUCUCCUCAAAAGGCUGCCGACUGUUCCCUGUGAUUGGAAACAUUUUUUCGCCAUUGGUCAUAAAUCCAAAUAUUGGCAACUUCUUGGUGGACACAGUUUUAACUUCGCCCUUCCAAUCCUAAUUAUCUCCUAAUUGUUAGCAGGGCCUUCCUCCAAAUGCACCGACAGACUCUCCAGUGCAUUAGUUUCACUGUGUGCUUUUGUUGGACUUCGGAUGCCAAAGCCCCCACUGAGCUGCUGGACCGCGGAAGAAAAGCGAGACGCUUCACUUUUCUCUUCCUUUGUCCCUCCUCUCUUUAUCAGAAAGCUUGGCGGGAGGCCAACAUAGAUUCACGGCGGCCAGCGCAGACAAAUCUUAUAAGCCCGGUGUUGUGUUACGAUUCCUCGGUUAAAUCUGAAGCUACAACUUCCUUUUUUCCAGAGCCGAUUCUCCUCUCACCACCUCCAACCCGUUGCUUAUCAACCGGGCUAAUUCGAUUUCAACCCAAAAAAACAAUGUCAUCAAACAAUGUGCGGAAAGCGGCGACAAUAUCCUCAAAGGCUGCAAACCAAAUCAUUCUGUUUUUAAAUGUAUGCGGCGCGUUUCAUUAGAAUAAACUGGAAGUGGCAAUGAGGAUGGGUUUUUCGCGUAUCCAGCUGAACAGCAGCGUCAUAAGGAGCACUGGCACCAUGCCCAGUUGGAUCUUAAAGCACUUAAAAAAAUGAACCCCUCCUCCUUCUCACUCGUUGCCCAACCUAAACAUUGCCUGUGCACCAUUAAAUCAUCGUGCUGGAUUGACUCUGGCCAAGUAUUGUUUGGAAGCUGACUGUUUUUUUAAAGCAGUCAAGUCCCUCUGGAUGUUAACUGCUCUUUCUAGACAUAGUUACAUCUUUAUUCAGGUAUUAUGUGAAUAAACAGCACUGACAGCAGUUGUUUAAAUCCCAUCUGUAAUUUCCAAAACCCUAUAUGAGGACUCAUGGUCGGGGAAAAGAAGGCUCUGGGCCCAUCCACACAAUGACUGUGAUACACAUCUGAGCCAUAUUUGUGUCACAUGUAAUUGUCAACGCUUUUCGAAACUUUGCUUGAUGUUACGUUCGUAAUCGUUCUUCUGUGGCUUGUGAACACUAGCGAUGAGCAGAUGAGGUAUCGUGAAACCCAGGUGGAUGAAACCAUGUCCUAAUUUUCAAUGGCCACUAGAUGGCGCUUUUGGUUUAGAAAUGAUGUAUGUUUCAUUAAAUUUGUUGCAUUGGACAGCACCAUCUGGUGGCCUUUGGAAGUCAGGACACUGUUUCGUGAAACCUCAUCAACCCUUCCUUCACUACUGUCAUGAAAACUCAUCUGCCUCACUAGUGAAGACACAAAAGAUGUGGCUCUCCCCCUCGAUGUCACGACCUCCUCAGCACAUUGGCAUCCAAGAAAUAAUCAUUCCGAUUGAAAAUGUUCUGGUAGCGGGACACCACAUUCGUACCAUGAGAAAUUACCUAGUUAACCCACUUGCACCGCAAAAUUCGGUGUUGUGCACGAGAGUCUUUACUGAAGCUGUGCGUGUUGUUUUCCUUCACAAGUUGUGUCUCUGACUUGUGUUACAGCUUCGGUUAUUCUAUGUUAUAAAAACAAAUCUUCCUCUGUGGCUCUGAUAUUGUGAGCUUGUUCUGGCUGCUUUCUACUUCUGUUAAGUACAUAUUUGACAGUUUGCUCUGGGAAUAGCUCAAUAUGGCUGAUAGAAGAACAAAACUUGAACCGGCGUAACACACAUCUUGAAAUAAUUCCGAUGAUGAGAGCAGAACCCGCUAACAAUGGUUUCUGUUUUCCAAAGCAAACAAAGGAAAAUAGGCCGGCAUGACAGCAACAAAGCUGAAAAAAUAGGCGGUAAUAAUGAAAUACUUCUCUGUUUCCUGCUCGCUGGAGCAGUUGGGGACUCCUUGCUUUUCAAUGGCGUCUGGGCUUCCUUCGACUCAUUCAUCUUUAAACAUUGUGUGAAUGACAAUGGCCUUCUGGGAGAAUGGUCGACAGCUCGAACGGGAGCUCCCCUGCAGGGAGAAGCAUCUGGAGCUCAUAUCUGAGCAGCUCAGCCAGCUGAAGGGUCAGUGUGUCUGCUUGAACCCGUGGUCAAAGGCCUUGAGAGCGCACUCAGACGUGAUGGUGUUGUGUUAACACCCGCGCUCUCCUGUCAAGCUUGACCGCUCAAUUCACCUUCACUCUUAUUUGUUUGGCACACAAUUUCCAGCAGACCCUUUUACUUUGUUCCGCUCAAGUCCAGAGUUUCCCCGCUCUGCAGCUACUUUCUUUGCAACGAAGUGACAAAUUGUUGCAGCAGCCAAAACCACCAGCAUCUUGGUGCUAAUGUGACGCCUCUCUUGAAGGAUGUCCAUGAAGCCACCAGGCAGCUUUUCAAAACUGUCAAACGCGCGCCCAGAAGGCUUUGAAAAAGAUAAUGCUUCCACUCUAUCUUGUGAUGGUCGCAGCACUGAAGCAGAUCCCAGAAGCCCAGCUGGGGAGAACAAAGAGAUUGGUCUCCCAGCUAACAGGGAUAAGUGGUACAGAUUUCCUCUCAGUUUGAGGCCAAGCCAGCAUUUUGUCUUGAGUACACAGGCUCAUAUUAAACAAAGAUUUACUUUUUUUUUUUUCCAUCUCUUUUGGGAAACGUCAAUCCCAUUUAUUGAAAUGGAAUCUUCGAUGGCUUAUACGUGCACCAAGAGUGAAUGUUGUGGAAAUGUCAUUCAAAAUGAGAGCUGUCACAGUUGUUGGAAUUGACGGGAAGGAAAUAUUCAGAUGCUGAGACCCGUCUUCAUCUGUUUUUAUGACUUUGAAUGUAGAUUUCACACAAACGCCUGAGAGCGAUUGCUUCUUUGAGCCUUGGGAUCCUUCAGAAUACUAGGAAAGACUCACUCAUGGUCACGGGGGCAGCAGUAGUGAUGCGAUACAGUGUUAUUUUGAUCACAUUUAGUUGAGUAAAUUUCCUCAACUAAGCAACAACUGUAACACUCCGCUGCUCCUGGUACUGAAGUCGUGAAUCCUGGCCAGACAUCUGAAGGAGCAAGUCAAAAUGGCUGCAGAGUGGAGUGAGAUUUGCGUUUCAUGUUUAAAAAAAAUAGCGUUUUUAUUGUCAUACUUUCACCUUCACCUUCACCUUCUUCUGCCGUUUAUCCGGGGUCGGGUCGCGGAGGCAGCAUUCGGAGCAAGGAAGCCCAAACUUCCCGGUCCGCACAAACCUCCUCCAGCUCUUCCCGGGGGAUCCCGAGGUGUUCCCAGGCCAGACCGGAGACAUCAUCUCUCCAGCGAGUCCUGGGUCUUCCCUGGGGUCUCCUCCCGGUAGGACAUGCCCGGAACACCGCCGCAGGGAGGCGUCCAGGGGGCAUCCGGAUCAGAUGCCCGAGCCACCUCAGCUGGUUCCUCUCAAUGUGGAGGAGCAGCGGCUCCACCCCGAGCUCCUCCUGGAUGACCGAACUCCUCACCCUAUCUCUAAGGGUGCGCCCAGCCACCCUGCGGAGGAAACUCAUCUCAGCCGCUUGUAUCCGCGAUCUCAUCCUUUCGGUCAUUACCCAAAGCUCGUGACCAUAGUUGAGGGUGGGAACGUAGAUCGAUCGGUAAAUGGAGAGCUUCGUCUUGUGACUCAGCUCCCUCUUCACCACAACAGUCCGAUACAGCGACCGCAUCACUGCUGCCGCUGCACCAACCCGUCUAUCAAUCUCACGCUCCCUUUUUCCCUCACUCCAGAAUAAGACCCCGAGAUACUUAAACUCCGCCACUUGAGGCAAGAACCCUCCACCAACCUGGAGAGAGCAAACCACCAUACUUUCAGUGAAUGUCAAAACUCUGCUUUUGCUUCUCUCAGUUGGAUUACGACUGGAUUGGCUGUUAAACAUUUCGGAUUAGAUCAGGCAGUAGUUGGGGGGGGUAGCCAGAUUAGACCAGUUUGUUGCGGUUUUUGGCGACUUUCUCUGACAAUCGCGGAGUGAUUGUAGCGCUAGCAACUAUGCACGGCACAUGACGUCUCUGCGACUGGCUUUCAGUGUGCUGGACGACUCAGGAGAGGACAACAGAAUGAGUGACCUGAGAGCAAGACACAUGAUGCCAGCUGGUCAAAUGGUUCCGCUAUCUCCAGAGUGGCACUAAAGUAACUCUACUCUCAGUAGUUCACCUGACAGAUGCUUCAUAGAGGAGGGUUUGGGAUCAUUCGGAACCCCAGGGAAGACAUACACAGUGGGGUCGUGGGUGCAGCCGUCGCGAUGAUGAUAUUCGCAACAUAUUAUUUAUCUGAGUUUGUACUGUAACUCUUUCCUUGCGCAGCUUAAACUCCCAACAUAGACUUUCUGAAUAAAUACAUCUGUGUUUCCCAUUUUUGGCAUUGAAAGUGCCUGCAGCUCCUCUGUGAGCUCAGACACAUACGGAUGCAGUCAGUAUUCUGCUUCCAGCCCCCCUCAGCGAGUGAAUGAUGUAUUCUCGAGCCGCGCCGAGGAAAUCUGGUGCUCAUAUUACACAGAUUUAUACACGCGAAGACAAGCUCUAUCUGAGGGGUUCUGAAGAGCUGAGACGUGCCGAAUGAACCGCGGUUUCAAUAAACAAAAGGCCGAUGAGAGAAACGUCAGGUUAUAGUUUAGCGGGCUCCUUCAGACGCACAGAGCCACUCUUUGCUGUUUUAUUUCAAGGCCUUGCCAGAUGGAGACGUCUUUGUCCCUACAGAAGUAUUUUUGGCGGGUGAAAGCCACCAUGUCCUCAGUUUAAUGGAGGCAAACCACAACAACAGUGUAGUAAUGAGUGGAUUGUAUACAACCUCCUCCCUCCCUUCUGGAUGUUGCCGUGUUGCUCACCACAGGCCGAGCGUCUCCCACCACUGAGCAAGGAAGAGGAGAGAAAACAAGCGUGCCUCCUCAAUGCUAACUCAAUAAUGACUUCCCACGGGGGGAGAGAAUACAGGGCUGGCUUUGAAGUGGCUGUACUGCAGGAGUAUCCAGCUUCUCCACAGGAAACUCUCAAGUUGGUUUUUUGAAAGCUUGGGACCUGGGCCGGCGUCAUGCGGCCUGCACACGCUCGUCUUCAUCAUGAAGUCUUCAUAGCCCGUGUUCGUACGUUUGCAUCAUUGGCUGGGCUCUGGGAAUAUUCGCUUACACGCAGGACCCACAGCUGGCUUUGACUCCGUCAUCCAAAGAAUGCUGUGGUUUUAUUUUCAGCCGCACUUUGCCAAACAACUGUUGAUGAUAUAGUAACCGGGCCUUUCUCAUGCGCUCUUUGGCAUGACAGGCGGCGCAUCAUAUAUUUAUCUACUGGGUUUUCAAAGCGACUGGAAUGUGGUGAUUCCCAGUGGAGCUGUGUAAAGAGUAGUUUGUAAGUUUCUUAAAAUGCAGUUUACCGUUAUUGGAGAAGAGGAAAGAGAGGAAUGCAAAAGUACA